UAUCACUAAGCGGAGGAAAAGAAACUAACCAGGAUUCCCCUAGUAACGGCGAGUGAACGGGGAUUAGCCCAGCACCGAAGCCUGUGUCCAUUUGGAUGCUAGGCACUGUGGUGUUUAGGUGGUGACGUGUCGGUUCAUCUGCUGCCCCAAGUCCAGUAAUGAAUAUGGCUCUUAUGUUGGCCCAGAGAGGGUGAAAGGCCCGUGGGGGUGGUUAGGUGAGUUGACCGGUUCCACCUUGGAGUCGGGUUGUUUGUGAAUGCAGCCCAAAGUGGGUGGUAGACUCCAUCUAAGGCUAAAUACUGACACGAGUCCGAUAGCGAACAAGUACCGUGAGGGAAAGUUGAAAAGUACUCUGAAGAGAGAGUAAACAGUGCGUGAAACCGCUGAGAGGUAAACGGGUGUAGUCAAGCUGCAAGCCUUGGGGAUUCAGCUGAUCAGUGUGAUGUGUGUGUACGAGCAUACUUUUGGUCUGUUUCGGUCCGCCUAAACUGGUGGGCUUGGCUCCUCGUGGGUCAAGUGCUUGGGUAUCACGUGGAUACUGAGCGCCGUGCAGGAUCCAAUUGCUGGUCAGUGCACUUCCUCAGGGUGUAAGCCACGACCGCUUUUGCUGCCGGUCUGCCGGGAUCAACCGUCUUGGUGGGGCUGAACAGCCCGUCCAGGUCGGGAUGGCAGGUAGCCUGGUGUGCACGUUCACGUGUGUACUGGGUGUUAUAGCCGAUCCUUGUGCGGUCCGUAAACUGUGCAGUAUGGCGGAGAUGUCGGCGUGUUGGUAACAGCUCUCGUGCUAAAGUCUGCCGGCAUGAUCAAUGUCUGGCUGCCUGUUGUCGAUGUAAAAUUCGGCCUGGCGGCGGCUUGUUCAUGGUGUAGCGGACGGCGGCCUGGGCUAGCCACCGGUCUUUGGCCGGUUCGUCGUCUAUAGUCUGUGGCGUAGUGGUAGACGAUCCA
rnacentral:rRNA from 1 species